CCUACGGGCGGCUGCAGUGGGGAAUAUUGGACAAUGGGCGAAAGCCUGAUCCAGCCAUGCCGCGUGUGUGAAGAAGGCCUUCGGGUUGUAAAGCACUUUCAGUGGGGAAGAAAGCCUUGGGGCUAAUACCCUCGAGGAAGGACAUCACCCACAGAAGAAGCACCGGCUAACUCCGUGCCAGCAGCCGCGGUAAUACGGAGGGUGCGAGCGUUAAUCGGAAUUACUGGGCGUAAAGCGCGCGUAGGCGGUCUGAUAAGCCGGUUGUGAAAGCCCCGGGCUCAACCUGGGAACGGCAUCCGGAACUGUCAGGCUAGAGUGCAGGAGAGGAAGGUAGAAUUCCCGGUGUAGCGGUGAAAUGCGUAGAGAUCGGGAGGAAUACCAGUGGCGAAGGCGGCCUUCUGGACUGACACUGACGCUGAGGUGCGAAAGCGUGGGUAGCAAACAGGAUUAGAUACCCUUGGUAGUC
rnacentral:rRNA from 1 species